GACGAACGCUGGCGGCGUGCUUAACACAUGCAAGUCGAACGGAAAGGCCCUGCUUUUGUGGGGUGCUCGAGUGGCGAACGGGUGAGUAACACGUGAGUAACCUGCCCUUGACUUUGGGAUAACUUCAGGAAACUGGGGCUAAUACCGGAUAGGAGCUCCUGCUGCAUGGUGGGGGUUGGAAAGUUUCGGCGGUUGGGGAUGGACUCGCGGCUUAUCAGCUUGUUGGUGGGGUAGUGGCUUGCCAAGGCUUUGACGGGUAGCCGGCCUGAGAGGGUGACCGGCCACAUUGGGACUGAGAUACGGCCCAGACUCCUACGGGAGGCAGCAGUGGGGAUUAUUGCACAAUGGGCGGAAGCCUGAUGCAGCAACGCCGCGUGCGGGAUGACGGCCUUCGGGUUGUAAACCGCUUUCGCCUGUGACGAAGCGUGAGUGACGGUAAUGGGUAAAGAAGCACCGGCUAACUACGUG
rnacentral:rRNA from 1 species